GUGAAGUCCACCCAGGGGGGGUUCCCAGGAAGGCAUUGCUGAGGAGGCUAAAGGUCAAGAAUAGCAGUGCCAACCCCAGCGGGUGACCAGGGAGAGGGAUCAUUUGCAUUAAGGCACAAAGUCAACAGGAGUGGCUGCCGAGCUCACAGAGCAGGACAAGGGGGCCACAGGGGCCGCCGCUCCAUGGUAAGAAGAGGCCUGCUCAGAUGGGCAUCUGGAGAAGACCUGUCCAGCUCCAGGGUAGAAAAGGAACAGAUGGGCUCAGGCCUGGGUGCUGCCCAAGGCCAGGCUGCUUGAGAUGUUUGGUGAAAUGAGGCAACGUGCCUGUGAUUUUGUUUUCAGCCCCAUCGCCAAGGCACCCUCUGAGGCUUGCAGUCUCCAUGGGCACAGCCAGGUUGGAUACGUCCGUCAAGCUGUGUGGGUACAGGAGUCCCCGACCGGGGUCAGCAUGGGCCCAGAAACAGCCGGAUUGGCCUCAAAUCCUCUCAACACUCCAAGAACACUUAGUGAGCACCUCCUACGGCCUGGUCAACACUUUCCAAUUGCGGUUGAGCUUGAUCAUAAAAUUGCAUUUCAAUGAACCAAGAGAAAAACAUGAGAAUUUACUGGUACCAACUGGCUGUGACUUUUCACAUGCGUGAUCACAUUUAAACCUCACAGGAAGCCUUAGAACAGGGCGCACAACAGUAAAGGCGCAGGGACCCCGACUCCCAUUCCUCACCCACGGCAGACAGAGCUGGUCGAUGCCAGAACUCCUUCCAGCUGAGCCUGGAAUCAAACUCACAAUCCUCAAGGCAAGACUUCAAGAGGCCCCACACAGGAGCCAGCAUCCAAAGGGUCCAUACAGGCAAUGAAGCCCCACUGGUGUCCACCUUAGGACAGAUACGAUUGUUGACAUAGAGAAAUGAGGAAAAGACGCAUUUGGAAAACACUGGGGACCUGCCAGGUCAGCAAGCAGGAAAGAGGCAAAGUUGAGUUUCCAUCCUGGGUCUUCCAGCUACCAGCCCCGUUCCCUCCUCACUUCUGCGGCUUCCUAGAGCACCUCACAGCUCCACAACUGACACAGCUUCACCUGGGACCAUGACAGGAAUUAAGCCAAUCUAACAAGAUAACUCAAAUUGAAGGGCCCAGAGAAGGAACGCCUCUAGGAAGAAUCGGUCCAGGCUCCAACACCACAGCGA
rnacentral:lncRNA from 1 species